rnacentral:lncRNA from 1 species
AGGAGACAGAGUUGAGGAUCCAGUGGUCAGGGAGUGGUGAGGAAAGUUGAUGAGAUUGGUGCAAGCUGGAAUAGUUGACAGUGAUUCUUCUUAUCGAAGAUGAUCUGACUUGGUAAGAAAUAUUGUAUAGUAUUAGUGGUGGAUUCUAAUUUCAAUACUGUAACCUGGAAGCGAUCCUGUUGUUUUGGGGGUUAAAUGUUCUCUUAAAAUUUUCUUAUUAUGGUUUUCAAGUUUGAAAUUCAGGUUUUGAAAUCAUUUGAUUUAUGUUCUCAUUCAAAGUUUUUAUUAAAUGUUUUCAAGUUUUAAAUUCUUUUGGAUUUUCAUUAUCUUUAAAUGAAAAUACCAGGUUUCAAAAGUAUUUUAAAAAGGGUUUUGUGUGGUGACGUCAGAAUCCAGACCCCCGGAUUCUCGGACUGUCACAGUUGGUAUCAGAGCAACAGGUUACAAGUUAUUGGAAUUUGAAUAUAGAUUAUAGUUUUAAGUUCUAUUGAUGAGGAAUGUUGUGUAACCUCACAUAGAGGUAUUGUGAGACUAUCUGGAAAUAGUCUAGAGAUGUGUCAGGAUUAGAAUCUAGUUAGAUGAUUAAGUUGAGUGUAUAAGUUUAGAGAGAUUUUGAUUCUUAAGUUUAGACAUAGGAUUUCUAGUUGAUUAGGAUUCUUAAGUUUAGACAUAUGAUUUCUAGUAUGUUGAUUAAUUGAGAUGGUGAAUUGUGGGAAAGGUCAGUAUUAGACCAAUAUAGAAGAGUUUGAUAGUGAAUGAUUGAAUUGAGAAUGGUGAAAAUGCAGAGUCAUAGUAUUCUGACUAUACUGCAUAUUUGAAACUGGAUUAUUGUAUUGAUUUGAGGAUGAUAUAAAUGCAUGGUUCAUAGUAUGUUGACCAUGUUGGAUAUUUGGAAAAGUAUAUUGUUUUGUGAGAUAUGAAGAGUUAGUGUAAGAUAUGAGUUGUACUGAAUCAGAAGGAGAGAUUUAUAGAUAGAGGUGGAUAGGUGAGAAGUGAAUGAUAGAGAGUAUGUGGAGUUGAGUCCAGCUAUUAGAGGUAAUGUCUGCGAAUAAGUUAGAACGUUAGUCCUCGACGACAACGCUUCGAGCUAAUCGGGGUUUCAAAUGGCAUCAAGGUGGGCCCAUAACCCACAGGUUGAUGAUCCAGACAAUCGAAUAUACAAUACCUAUCGAAGAUACGUUACGUGUUUGUGCUAUGGAUUUCAAAGGCAACUGGGAUAAAGUAGAAGAAUGUAAAUUACAUGGGCCAGAGUUAUUACGGACGAUAACGUCUACGAUGACAUCUUACGAGGCUAUUACGAGUCAAAUCGAUUGAUUAUCGAGAACGUUGAAAGGAUGACAUAAAUCGAAUAACGAUUUCGUAAAGUAGAGUGGGAAUUUGAGAAGACCUUGGCAAUACCUCUCUUCAACUAAAGAUUCUUUUGAUUAUUUUCUCAUCAGUGAGAUAUUAUCAUGAUAUCUUUUCUACAAAAGUUUUGAUAAAUGAGAUCUUCAAUUUCUCAAAUUCUAAGAUGACAUUGAUAUUGAUUAUUGGUAUGAGUUGGAAAGCAAAGAUGUGUGAUAAAGGUUUGUUGUGAAGAGAUAGUGAUGUUCCUUGAUAUUGUUUGACAUUUCUUGACAUUCCUUGAUACCCUUUCAUCUUCCUUGAUAUCCCUUGAUGUUCUUUGAUAUCUUUGAUAUUCCUUGACAUUCUUUGAUAUUCCUUGACAUUUAUUCAAUUUGAUUGGGAUGAACAACCCUAUUUAUAGGGGACACAAGGUAUACCUGUCUGUGUGAUAGGAGUUGGAUGGGACGCCAUCACUUGUGUGUGUUGUGAUUACAAGAAGGUUAACAACCUUUAGUAGUGUCUAAUAUGGACACGCAACAUUAAGUUCAUUUGAUCUUAUUGAUCUCCCAGUCACUCUUGUAUUCCAAUGUGACCUAUUUUGAAAAUAUCUUGUUCCUCCGAAAUUCCCAAAGAUUGAUUCUUGGGAAAUGAAUGUUGCAAUCGCGAAAGUUUGACUUUCCUUUUCCAUUAAAGUUAAAGGUAUGCCAAGAUCAAUCAAAGGUGGAUGACGAUAUGAUAUUACGAAGUGUGUACGUUUUAGUUUCUUCGGAGGAUUCCGAGGACGGAAUCCUUAUAAGGGGGGUAGAAUGUAAUAUCCCAUAUUAUUAAAUUUAGAUUUGAUUAUUAUAAAUCUAUUUGUCUAGAUAUUAUUGUUGGCUCUAGUUGAAUAUUGAUAUGAUUAUGUGAAUAGUUGUAUGUGAUUAUACUUGUUAUGUGGAUUAAUAUGGAUUUUACAGAUUAUGCGUCCUCCUUCUUUCUCUGAUUCCGAGGACGGAAUCCCUAUAAGGAGGGUAGAUUGUAAUAACCCGGAUUUUAAAAAUAUUUUUAUUAAUAUUAUAAAUGAUUUUCUUAAAAAGAAAGGAAUAAGAUUUAAUAUUUUAUUCCAGUUUAAGGAGUUUUCAAAAUUUUAUAUUAAACCCCGGGUUAUUGUGUUAUUGAUAAAUGAUUAUAUUUUUAAAACUGAUUUUCAUAUAUUGUUUCGAAAAUUCUAGAUGAUUAUUAUGUGAAUAUAUGUGUGAUGUGAGUAAGUGGUAUUGGUGGAUUUGUUGGUUAAUUAAUUAUGGUUAAUUAUGAGUAUUAUAUGAUUAAUAUAUGAAUUUUUGUGAAUUUUAUAUUAUCUGGUUUAUUGCGUUAACUGCUCAUAUGUGUUCGUAUUUGAGAGAUUUCAAUUUCUAUAUGCUCAGGAGAAAAUAUAGUUUAUUUGGAUAUUUUCAUAUCGAUUUAUGGAAUGUUAGAUGAUUUUAUAAUCGAUUUACGGAUUUAAUUGCGUAUAUUUAUAUUUAUUUAUUAAUUAUUUGACUUCCGUAAAACCGUCCACUCGUAACGAGGUAGCAAAUUUUCUUCCCGGAAGUUUCAACAAAACUCACCUUUAGCCUAAUUUGAAUAUUCCGGACAUUUUUCGUGUUUUGACUUUUUCGAUCCGGAGUACGGUUUUCCCCGGAGUCGGUCCGGCGGAGUUUUUCGGGUAUUUUAAUUGUUGAUAAUUAUCCAGUUUGUCUCGAUAAGCGUGAAACGAGAUAUUUUGAUUAUUAUAUUCAUCCUUAUCUUGUAAUAAUUGCAAUGGGACCCGCAGACCAAUAAUUGAGUUAAAAAGCCCCGUUUUGAUGAUUAUCUCGAAAACCGGUACCGAUUGGACCCCGCUUUAUUAAUAUAAAGCUAUUAAAUACGUAUUUUCAUGUCAUAAACGAUCCAAAGGGGUACCAAUUAUUUGUAAAUAUAAAUAGACUUUCCUGUAACUUAUUUUCACCGUAGAAAUCAUUUCAACAGUUUCUCUGCACGAAUAUCGAGAGAAACCGAGCGGUGUUCUUCGUGUUCUUCAUAAUCAAACGAAGAUUUGAAGGUGUUAUUGGAAUCCGAUGGAGGCGUAUAAAUAGUCAAAACGAAGCUAUCGACGCGUAGAAUCAAGUUUAAUCAUCCGUUUAUAUGCAGAUUCAACAGGUGAUUUUAGAUUAUUUUUCUAAAAUUCGAGUUUAUAUGAUUUAAAUGAUGAAUUUUUGCAAACGAUUCCGUUUAUGUGAUUUGAUGAUUCUAUGAUGUAGAGCAUGUUUUUCUCGUCGUUUUGGUAUAUUAUAUGUCAAAAACGGAGUUCAAUAACAUGUAGAAAAGUCAGUUUGAUUAUUGAAAUUGUGUUCUUGGUGUUCUUGAGCUUGUUGCCGGAAAAGUUUGAAUUUUGGCCGGAAAAUGGGUUCCGCUAAAUCUGGGCAGUAGUGGUAUAUAUGAAUAGAAAGAGGAGAGAAAGGGGAGUAUGCUGGUGUGCUUGGUUUGAGCGGAGGUGGCUCGAAUCGCCGCCAUCGGCGGCGGGAAGUCGCCGACUUCGGCCGGAUUUUCCGGCGAAUUCGCGCGACUUCUGCCUAAUUAAAGAUGGGGGAUUGAUUUAUGGGUGUGUGUACUACUGAUCUGGAGUAGAUGGUGAGUGGAGGACGCCUGGAAACGAAAAUCCGGCAAGUUAGUGUGAUGGCCGGCGGCUUAUUGCUGUUUGGUCACCGAAGUUUUGAAGAUGAUGAAGUUUUUGUACUCAGGUUUUGAAACUUAUGAAUUACCCCCUGUAACUUUGAAAAGUUGCACUUUAAACCCUGGACAAAACUUUCAAAAGUUUACAAAAUAAACCUUUUGAUUUAAUUUUCUAAAAUUGUUUUAUUUAAUUAUUUUAAAUUCCAAAAAUAGUUUUUAAUUAUUUCUUUAUUCAAAAAUAAAUCUAAAUUAGUUUAUUAAUUAAUUUUAAUUAGUAAUUAAUUAUUUUAAUUGGUCAAUUAAUUUAAAUAUUAAUUGAUUAAUUAUUUUAAUUAAUUAUUAAUUGAUUUUAAUUGAUUAAUUAAUUGGAUUUAAUUAAUCCUUUUUGAUUUAAAAAUUCCGAAAAAUAGUUUCGAGCUUUAAAAUAUUUUUCCAAAUUAUUUUCAAGGCUCGAUAAUUGUUUAUGAAUGAUUUCAAGUCCAAUUUCAAGUAUUUGGGACUUGAUUAUUUAUCCGAAAAGUGAUUCUUUUAUCGAUUUUAAUUCCGAAAAAUGUUUAAAAAUUCCAGAAAAUUCCCGAAAAAUCAUUUUUAACCCAAGACUUGAUUUAAUAUCAAUUGGGAUGGGAAACCUUAUGUGUUGUGUGUUGUCUGCUAUUGGUUGGAUGUGUUAUGUGCCGAUAGGAGAGUGAGAAAACUGUUUUGAGCAUAACUUUUGAUCCGUAAGUCGGAAUCAAGUGAAACGAAAGAGAGACAGAAGCUUAUAACGUCUAUUUUAAUAUGAUGUGACUAUAUGGCUGAGUCUAUAAGGUGAAUAAUUGUUGAUAAGUAUGCAUAAUGUGAUAAUAUGUGAUCUAAGUGCUAUCAGGUGAUGAUUAUGUGAAGUACGUGUUAGUUUUGAUAUUGUGAAGUGAUAAAUGAUUCGUAUGAUUGAUAUUGGAUAAGAAUAUAUGGAUUAUAGCUAUUGGAUUUUGUUGGUUGAUUAAUGAUUGAGAUAGGAUAAUAGGUGGAUAGUCUUAUACAUAGACGAGACGAUGUCGGAUUUUCGAUAAGGAUUUAUAUGAUAAUUGAUUGGUGAUAUGUUAUGUGGAAUAUGAUUGACUAUAUGUUAGAGUCAAAGCAUGCUUAUGUGUUACGUGGUAUCUGAUAAGUUUAAAGGGAUAUAUAAGUGGGUAUCGAUAUACGUGAGAUGUAUAUGCGAUCGAUUGUUUAGUGAUUAUAGUGUUAUCUUAUUCUCGUAAAGGAUUUGGACGAGACGUGUAUGCCCGAAGACGUUCAGAAAGUCACGUGGUGUUACAAAGCGAAUAAGGGAUGAAUCGAGUAAGCGAAGCGAAGAUGUACGGUAGAUAGAGUAUAGCCAGAGAUGGUCUAGAGACUAUGAGAUGCAUAGAUUGUGAAAGUGGAAAGAUGAGAUUGAGAUGUGAGACUGGAGUCAGAUUUAAGGCAAGUAUCCUAAACCUUUCUCUUGGAUAUAUUGCAAAUAUUCUGAUCCAUUCCUUUGGUAUAUGUUUCAAGUAUUCAUACCUUUCUUUUCAAUGUUCGAAAGUGCGAGUAUUCUGACCCAUUCUUUCUAAUCUUCAAGUUUCUAAAGAAUUUCCGUUUUACAAAUUAAUUCGAAGUUCAGAUUGUCAUUGAAGCAUGUGUUGCUCAGUGAUAGUUAGAGCUUUGAAUGAAUUGGGAUCUUCUUGAUUAUUCAACCCGCCAUUGUCAUGCUGGUUUAGCAGGCUAAAUUCAGUUGCUUAGCCGAUAAUGGAGGAUACUGAAUAGUUGAGGAUUUCCUGAACUGUGAUUUAUGAAAUGAUGGAUCAUGAUUUAUGAAUAGAUUAUUAUCAAAGUUUGAAUUGGAAUUAUUCUGUUGUUGAUGAUAUUUAUGAUGAUGUUCUGUUGAUUUACAUUGGCUUCUUGAAUUGAAUUAGAGAAUUGGAUUAUUGUUUUUAUAUAAACCUGUGGACCAGAUUCGUGGUCAUGUUAGGCCAAUGAGUGCCUUGGAUCCAGUGAUAGAGCAUGGCGGGGCCUGCUCGGGGUUAGGUAUGACUGAUCAGCAUCCUGACCUUGGUUUUUAAUUAAAAAUGUGAUAGUCCAAUUCAAUAAUUCUCUUGUGAAGGAUUGAAUUCCUCAGGUUUCUAUUGCUGCAAGGUAUUGUGAUUCUUUUAUACAAUACCUAAAUUUGUGAACUCAGGUUGAAUCUUUUUAUAUCUUGAACUCGAGAAUUUCUGUUAUAUCACUUCAGAACUUUCAUUGUUAUUAUUACUUGCUGAGCAUUGUUGCUCACUCUUGCUAUUCUCUUUUAACCAUUUCAGAAAAGCUUAAAGAUGAGAUGAUUGAUUGAGAUUGUGGAUAAGGCUAAUGCUAGGCGAGGAGACAGAGUUGAGGAGGAGACAGAGUUGAGGAUCCAGUGGUCAGGGAGUGGUGAGGAAAGUUGAUGAGAUUGGUGCAAGCUGGAAUAGUUGACAGUGAUUCUUCUUAUCGAAGAUGAUCUGACUUGGUAAGAAAUAUUGUAUAGUAUUAGUGGUGGAUUCUAAUUUCAAUACUGUAACCUGGAAGCGAUCCUGUUGUUUUGGGGGUUAAAUGUUCUCUUAAAAUUUUCUUAUUAUGGUUUUCAAGUUUGAAAUUCAGGUUUUGAAAUCAUUUGAUUUAUGUUCUCAUUCAAAGUUUUUAUUAAAUGUUUUCAAGUUUUAAAUUCUUUUGGAUUUUCAUUAUCUUUAAAUGAAAAUACCAGGUUUCAAAAGUAUUUUAAAAAGGGUUUUGUGUGGUGACGUCAGAAUCCAGACCCCCGGAUUCUCGGAAUGUCACAGUAUUAGUAAGAGAAUGAACAUGCAUAAACUGACUGAUAACAAAUAUUUUCUCCGUCUGUUUUUAGUUGUCACAUUUUAUUUUUGCUGGUUAAAUUGAC